rnacentral:rRNA from 1 species
CGAUAAGGGAACCUCGAGUGCCAGGUUACAAAUCUGGCUGUCGAGAUGCCUAAAAAGCAUUUCAUAGCAAGGGCCGGGCAAGACCGGUGCCAGCCGCCGCGGUAACACCGGCGGCUCGAGUGGUAACCGUUAUUAUUGGGUCUAAAGGGUCUGUAGCCGGCCGGAUAAGUCUCUUGAGAAAUCUGGCAGCUUAACUGUCAGGCUUUCAGGAGAUACUGUCUGGCUCGAGGCCGGGAGAGGUGAGAGGUACUUCAGGGGUAGGGGUGAAAUCUUGUAAUCCUUGAAGGACCACCAGUGGCGAAGGCGUCUCACCAGAACGGACCUGACGGCAAGGGACGAAAGCUAGGGGCACGAACCGGAUUAGAUACCCGGGUAGUCCUAGCCGUAAACGAUACUCGCUAGGUGUCGGCCACGGUGCGACCGUUGUCGGUGCCGUAGGGAAGCCGUGAAGCGAGCCACCU